UGCAAAGGAGGAAGCGCACGCAGGCAGGCUAGGGAAGGAGGGAGGGCUCCCAGCGCGCCCCGCCGCUUUUCCAGUAAGCCUCUCUGUGUUUACGUUAUGACAUUUUUCUGUUUGUAAUUAUUUUUUAUUUUAAUUUAUGUCAUUUUUAACAUGAGCCAGACCAUUGCUCUCCCCUUUCGCCUUUUGUACACAGUGACUCUCUUCAUGAUAGUAUGUCCUUUUCCAUACACACACAGAUAUACAUAUCCCCUGGUAUAUUCCCCCACCUCUUCCCUUUUUCCGAGCGUGUUUACUAUUCUUUAUUAACAGACUUUUUUCUAAUAUUUCUUCCUCUUCCCAACUCCCUCCCUCGCCCCCAGACUGCCAUUCCCUGGUGUGUCCGCUUUUUUAUAUUUUUAAAAAAAAAAAAAAAAGAAUUUGCCCUGUCUUGCUUUAUUUGUUUGUGUGAAAUUUAGUUUGAAAGGAGAUCAGAGGGAGCAGGAGGGGUUUGUCAUGAGAGAAUGACCAAGUGACCCGAAGUCUGAUUAUAUGUCAUUAUCUGGAGACUCGGUGUAUCCAAAUUACCACAACGGCCUCACUCAGCCAGAUCAAUUACAUUUAGAUACGGAGAGAGGGAGAGAGAGAGAGAGAGAGAGACGGAGGAAGGGGGGCGAAUGAGGGAAGGGUUGGAUACGCAAAUAUAGGCACGCCGACACCUCUCUCUCUCUCUCUCUCUCUCUCUCUCUCUGAGUGUGGAAGCGCAGAUCCUUACUCAACUUUCGCCAGUGCAACGUGCUCAGCCUAAAAAACGCACGUCGGUUUGAGCACCGUGGGAUCGCGCAGGUAGAAGCGGGCGCUACUUGCGUAAAACUGUAUUCACGUGCCCCAAGGUUCGGAUUCAUAGUUUAGUCGCCCCUGUUCUAGAAGGCUAGCGUGAACCCAAAGGAGACCGCGCUCAUCCAAAAACGAGGUCUGAAAGCAAACGUCAAAAGGCGCCCAGUUAACCACUAGUCGUGAGAUGUGUCAAGGGGGGAGGGGGAAAUAGAGCAAGGGAUCUCUUAUGAAGUAUCAAGUCGUGUAGGAAUACAAACUUGCCAAAAGCAAGGAAAUAUUGUAGUGCAGAACAAAUUUAGGAUUGCCAAUCCUCCCCAAGAGUUUAACCGCCACUGUAAUCAGAGCCCCCAUCACCCCAAGACAGUUUUGUAGUAUUUCCAAAAGAUGGUCGGCGUCUGACUCCAGCGAUUCUCCAUGUUUUACUUUUCUUAGCUAUUACCAUUACGCACAUAAUAUUGAUCUACCUAGAGGUCAACUUCAAAAUCUGCAGCUAGGGUUGUCACUUUUUUCUUGCCAUCACUCCGUUACAGAGCAGGCAGAACUUGUCUACACGCGCCCCUUAAAGGCACAAGAACCCUGGCAGGGGAGAUGAGGUAACGCGCGCUCAAUUUGUUAACAAUUGCAGGGCUCUGAGGAUGGAGAGAAGGGGAGCAAGGCCGUCGUCCGCACGGCUGAGAAGCAAGGCUCCGCCUUCCAUCCGCUGUCACGCCAUUCCAUCAGGCUGUAGAAGCGGGUGAAGCGGAGGGGCGCAGGGGCCCAGGGACCACUCCACUGGUGCAGCUGAAAGACCAGCAAUUCUCGCUUCCUCCUCCUCCUCCUCUUGAUCGGUUUCCAUCCCAGCUGGUCAUCAAAAGAACUUGUGACUAAAAAGUGGUCCCUAGAUAUAGUACUUAUUUUCUCCUGCCUCCCCCCUCC